AAAAGUGACAAGUUUUGCGAAUGGGGUUUGAAGUUUGUAAUUGAUCCCCACCAAGAACACGAUAAAAAACUAUUAUGGCAAAAAUUCCAUUGGGUCUGUGGUUCUCUCUAACCCCCGAAAGAAAUUCCUCCAAUCUAAAAUCCAAACCCAAAUUCAAUCCAAGGAUUUUGUUCUUUAUUUUGUGAUUGGUUCUUGAAAUUUUGAGUCUUUAUGUUAUAGUUUCAUUAUUUGAUUUCUCUGGAUCUAUGACUUUUUUAUUAAUUGAAAUUUGAAAGAUGGGUUUAAGUAAGUAUAAGAGGUUGUGGAUCAGUUCCAAUCUGUUUAAUCUAGAAAGAGACUCCUCUUUCUUCCACCUUCACUAUUUCAAGCUAAAAUCAUACUCAGAACAGAGAUGUUUGGCCAAACAACACCAUACAUAAAAUAUUUCAUUUGAUCCUCUUCAUUUUUUUCUCCACUUUUCUUGCUUGUUAGCAUUUAAUUUUCGUCAGUUUAUAAUGGUAAUAUUACUGGAAUCGUAAGUGAGAGAAGUGGUGAAAUCAAAAUUGAAGAUAAACUCUGUCAUAGUCAAAACCAAAGAUGGAUGCUUUCUUGAAGGGAUUUCCACACCUUUUUAGGUUGCAAGUGAAAAGAUGAUGAUGAUGGGAAGUGGUGGUUCCAUGGGAGUUGUUGAGGGUGGAGCCCAAUUACCAUGGCACCGUGUGGGUAGAGUUACAUGCAAUGAUUCUUCUUUUGUUUAGAGACACGAGAAGGAGAGGAAGAAGCAAGCAAAGUUGGGACAGCUAAUGGUUGGUGUGAGUGGGGCACGGAGAAGAUAGUUUAUGGAAAAAAAUUUGGUGUCGAGUGUCUAUGAUAAAACUAUAUUCUCCACUUUAUCUAAUGGCCAAUAUUUACUUUCCCAUGGUGGGAAACAACUUUCCAUUCCCAUACUAAAGUACGAAACAAUCGUGUUUUAUUUGGUACAAGUACAAAACAAACAUUUAGCAAUCAUCUUUUAACUUCCUGUAUUUUAUUUCACAAGUAGUGUGUCCGAAUAAAAUUGUUUUUGAACUGCACUGUAGGAUCUGUUUUAGACUUACAUUCUUAUGGUACUACCGCUCUAAUAUGACACUAUGUUCACUCUA